GCCGCUGUGAGAAGAAAACCGCUUUGUCUGCCACUGUGGGGAGAGAGCUGUUUUAAAGCCGAGUCCUGGGAGUGAGUCAUUGUGGCAUAUGGAAGAUUGUGAAAUCUGGGAUUUGGCUGACUUUGAGGGCUUAUUGAGACAGGCAGGGUGCCAGAGCUUGCCGUGGGAUCUACACACAUGAAAAGAAUUCAACAUGAACCAACACAUCUGGCCCGUACAAUUACGACAUCACACAACAUAUGACCAUUCAGCCCCAUCUGUGAGAGGAAGUGUGUCUUUAAAUGAAAUGUAAUAAGAUUGAUGGGGUAUUUUGUAUAAACUAAGCAAAAAAAGAAAUGUCCCCUUUUCAGGACCCUGUCUUUCAAAGAUAAUUCCUUAAAAUCUAAAUACCUUCACAGAUCUUCAUUGUAAAGGGUUUUAAACACUGUUUCCCAUGCUUGUUCAAUGAACCAUACACAAUUACGGAACAUGCACUGUGGAACAGUCGUUAAGACACGAACAGCUUACAGACGGUAGGCAAUUAAGGUCAAAGUUAUGAAAACUUAGGACACUAAAAAGGCCUUUCUACUGACUCUGAAAAACACCAAAAGAAAGAUGCCCAGGGUCCCUGCUCAUCUGCGUGAACGUGCCUUAGUCAUGCUGCAAGGAGGCAUGAGGACUGAAAAUGUGGCCAGGGCAAUAAAUUCCAAUGUCCGUAUGGUGAGACGCCUAAGACAGCGCUACAGCGAGACAGGGCGGACAGCUGAUCGUCCUCGCAAUGGCAGACCACGUGUAACAACACCUGCACAGGAUUGGUACAUCCGAACAUCACACCUGCGGUACAGGAUGGCAACAACAACUGCCCGAGGUACACCAGGAACGCACAAUCCCUCCAUCAGUGCUCAGACUGUCUGCAAUUGGCUGAGAGAGGCUGGACUGAGGGCUUGUAGGCCUGUUGUAAGGCAGGUCCUCACCAGACAUCACCGGCCACAACAUCGACCAUGGGCACAAACUCACCGUCGCUGGACCAGACAAGACUGGCAAAAAGUGAUCUUCACUGACGAGUCACGGCUUUGUCUCACCAGGGGUGAUGGUCGGAUUCGCGUUUAUCGUUGAAGGCAUGAGCGUUACACCGAGGCCUGUACUCUGGAGCUGGAUCGAUUUGGAUGGGGAAGGUCCGUCAUGGUCUGGGGCGGUGUGUCACAGCAUCAUUGGACUGAGCUUGAUGUCAUUUCAGGCAAUCUCAACGCUGUGCGUUACAGGGAAGACAUCCUCCUCCCUCAUGUGGUACCCUUCCUGCAGACUCAUCCUGACAUGACCCUCCAGCAUGACACUGCCACCAGCCAAACUGCUCGUUCUGUGUGUGAUUUCCUGCAAGACAGGAAUGUGUUCUGCCAUGGCCAGCGAAGAGCCCGGAUCUCAAUCCCAAUGAGCACGUCUGGGACCUGUUGGAAUGGAGGGUGAGGGCUAGGGCCAUUCCCCCCAGAAAUGUCCGGGAACUUGCAGGUGCCUUGGUGGAAGAGUGGGGUAACAUCUCACAGCAAGAACUGACAAAUCUGGUUCAGUCCAUGAGGAGGAGAUGCACUGCAGUACUUAAUGCGGCUGGUGGCCACACCAGAUACUGACUGUUACUUUGAUUUUGACCCCCCCUUUGUUCAGGGACACAUUAUUCCAUUUCUGUUAGUCACAUGUCUGUGGAACUUGUUCAGUUUAUGUCUCAGUUGUUGAAUCUUGUUAUGUUCAUACAAAUAUUUACAUAUUUACAAAUAUACACAUGUUAAGUUUGCUAAAAAAUAAACGCAGUUGACAGUGAGAGGAUGUUUAUUUUUUGCUGAGUUUAGUUCAUAGAUUUUGCUGCAAUGCUAUAAGUAGGGAAAUUCUUUUUUUUCUGACCUUAAAGUGACCUCACUGGGAAAACUCAGUAACUGAUAACAGAGGGCUCGUUUAAGGCAAAAGCAACUGACUGUAGACAAAAGUCAAAGAGUGAAGUCAGCAACAUGCAUCUGCAACAGUUGAAAGUUAGACACUAUAGGGACAGAUCUAAAUUUACUGGGGGAGGGUUGUGUUUUUUAAAAUUUGGAUACAAGGUAGGGUAGUGCGUAUUUACAUUCACUCUUCUGUUCGUAUUUUCCUUGGUUUACAUUCACUCUUCUGUUCGUAUUUUCCCUAUAAACAAUAGCUUGACUUACCUUUUUAUAUUACCCUAAUAAAGUUUAGAAACGUUUGUGAA